rnacentral:rRNA from 1 species
GGAAGACCAAGGGUUCCUGUCCAACGUUAAUCGGGGCAGGGUGAGUCGACCCCUAAGGCGAGGCCGAAAGGCGUAGUCGAUGGGAAACAGGUUAAUAUUCCUGUGCUUGGUGUUACUGCGAAGGGGGGACGGAGAAGGCUAUGUUGGCCGGGCGACGGUUGUCCCGGUUUAAGCGUGUAGGCUGGUUUUCCAGGCAAAUCCGGAAAAUCAAGGCUGAGGCGUGAUGACGAGGCACUACGGUGCUGAAGCAACAAAUGCCCUGCUUCCAGGAAAAGCCUCUAAGCAUCAGGUAACAUCAAAUCGUACCCCAAACCGACACAGGUGGUCAGGUAGAGAAUACCAAGGCGCUUGAGAGAACUCGGGUGAAGGAACUAGGCAAAAUGGUGCCGUAACUUCGGGAGAAGGCACGCUGAUAUGUAGGUGAAGUCCCUCGCGGAUGGAGCUGAAAUCAGUCGAAGAUACCAGCUGGCUGCAACUGUUUAUUAAAAACACAGCACUGUGCAAACACGAAAGUGGACGUAUACGGUGUGACGCCUGCCCGGUGCCGGAAGGUUAAUUGAUGGGGUCAGCGCAAGCGAAGCUCUUGAUCGAAGCCCCGGUAAACGGCGGCCGUAACUAUAACGGUCCUAAGGUAGCGAAAUUCCUUGUCGGGUAAGUUCCGACCUGCACGAAUGGCGUAAUGAUGGCCAGGCUGUCUCCACCCGAGACUCAGUGAAAUUGAACUCGCUGUGAAGAUGCAGUGUACCCGCGGCAAGACGGAAAGACCCCGUGAACCUUUACUAUAGCUUGACACUGAACAUUGAGCCUUGAUGUGUAGGAUAGGUGGGAGGCUUUGAAGUGUGGACGCCAGUCUGCAUGGAGCCGACCUUGAAAUACCACCCUUUAAUGUUUGAUGUUCUAACGUGGACCCGUAAUCCGGGUUGCGGACAGUGUCUGGUGGGUAGUUUGACUGGGGCGGUCUCCUCCUAAAGAGUAACGGAGGAGCACGAAGGUUGGCUAAUCCUGGUCGGACAUCAGGAGGUUAGUGCAAUGGCAUAAGCCAGCUUGACUGCGAGCGUGACGGCGCGAGCAGGUGCGAAAGCAGGUCAUAGUGAUCCGGUGGUUCUGAAUGGAAGGGCCAUCGCUCAACGGAUAAAAGGUACUCCGGGGAUAACAGGCUGAUACCGCCCAAGAGUUCAUAUCGACGGCGGUGUUUGGCACCUCGAUGUCGGCUCAUCACAUCCUGGGGCUGAAGUAGGUCCCAAGGGUAUGGCUGUUCGCCAUUUAAAGUGGUACGCGAGCUGGGUUUAGAACGUCGUGAGACAGUUCGGUCCCUAUCUGCCGUGGGCGCUGGAGAACUGAGGGGGGCUGCUCCUAGUACGAGAGGACCGGAGUGGACGCAUCACUGGUGUUCGGGUUGUCAUGCCAAUGGCACUGCCCGGUAGCUAAAUGCGGAAGAGAUAAGUGCUGAAAGCAUCUAAGCACGAAACUUGCCCCGAGAUGAGUUCUCCCUGACUCCUUGAGAGUCCUGAAGGAACGUU